rnacentral:rRNA from 1 species
CCCUUAGAUGUCCUGGGCCGCACGCGCGCUACACUGAGUGUCUGAGAUACGAGUCUGCCUGGUCCGGCAAGGUCUAGGUAAUCGCUAAAAGACACAUCAUGCUUGGGAUAGAUUAUUGCAAAUAUUAAUAUUGAACGAGGAAUUCCUAGUAAGCGCAAGUCAACAGCUUGCGUUGAUUACGUCCCUGCCCUUUGUACACACCGCCCGUCGCUACUACUGAUUGGAUGUUUAAGCGAGGUUCUCGAACUGCUAGCGACUUAGCUUCGGUGAGGUCGCAGUGUGGGAAGUGAACCUAGCUUUGGUGUCUAGAGGAAGUAAAAGUCGUAACA